CUCCUGCUGAUUAACUUAUAUUUAUUUUUUCAGCUGAAAAUCCUUUCCUAGAUGUACCAAGAUUAGGCCGUGAUGGGAACAGCAGUGCUCGGAGCAGUAUAAGUGAAGACUCUGAUAUCAGUGCAUCAUCCACACGUACUUAUAUACAUGAAAACUCCACUCUUGUUGUUGAAACUAAUGAGAAUGGUGUGAUUAAGCAUUAUAUAAUUCCAGGAUCUCUUGCUAAUCGUAGCAAAUGGAGAAAGAGAGGCAUAAAACUACAUAUAUAUAAUGACCACAUAUUUGUUGCCAAGCAUCUAUCUGGGUGUGUAUUGUUACAUACAUUGUUAUACAA